rnacentral:rRNA from 1 species
GACGUGACUUCAGAGUUUGAUCCUGGCUCAGGACGAACGCUGGCGGCGUGCCUAACACAUGCAAGUCGAACGGGGUAGAGAGCUUCGGUUCUCUACUUAGUGACGAACGGGUGAGUAACGCGUGAGAAACCUGCCUUUCAGUGGGGGACAACAGUUGGAAACGACUGCUAAUACCGCAUAAUGUUAUUUGGGGGCAUCCCUGAAUAACCAAAGCUUUAUGUGCUGAAAGAUGGUCUCGCGUCUGAUUAGCUAGAUGGCGGGGUAACGGCCCACCAUGGCGACGAUCAGUAGCCGGUCUGAGAGGAUGAACGGCCACAUUGGGACUGAGAUACGGCCCAG